UGAUGGUGGUGAGGGAAAUUUUUGAGUAUACCCUUAAAUCUCUCCCAAGCUUAGUAGAGACUCUCUCUUUCUUUUUGUCUAAAACUUAUAAUCUCACUUCUUAAAUG
rfam:Capsicum annuum cultivar Zunla-1 chromosome 11, whole genome shotgun sequence